UACGUAGGGGGGCAAGCGUUGUCCGGAAUCAUUGGGCGUAAAGCGCGUGUAGGCGGCUUGGUAAGUCCGCUCUGAAAGCCCGGGGCUCAACCCCGGGAGGCGGGUGGAUACUGUCAAGCUCGAGUCCGGAAGAGGCGAGUGGAAUCCUGGUGUAGCGGUGAAAUGCGCAGAUAUCAGGAGGAACACCAAUGGCGAAGGCAGCUCGCUGGGACGUGACUGACGCUGGAGACGCGAAAGCGUGGGGAGCAAACAGG
rnacentral:rRNA from 1 species